UACGUAGGGUGCAAGCGUUGUCCGGAAUCAUUGGGCGUAAAGCGCGUGUAGGCGGCUUGUUAAGUCCGCUCUGAAAGCCCGGGGCUCAACCCCGGGAGGCGGGUGGAUACUGGCAAGCUCGAGUCCGGAAGAGGCGAGUGGAAUUCCUGGUGUAGCGGUGAAAUGCGCAGAUAUCAGGAGGAACACCAAUGGCGAAGGCAGCUCGCUGGGACGUGACUGACGCUGAGACGCGAAAGCGUGGGGAGCGAACAGG
rnacentral:rRNA from 1 species